GUAUUCUCCAAAUAUGACAAUGAGCGUGUGGCGGCGCCGGAUGCUGAUUGGCCAGCCGGUUUUCCAGUGGGUCUGGAGAACGCUACGCGGCGUCAGAGAGCCAACGUGACUUCACCUGGGCCAGUGACUCUCGCCCGCCUGCCCCAAGCAGGACACCUCCCGACCACCACCCACCCCACCCACCCACCCAAGCCCUACACUGGGUCCUGUCCUUCUACUCCACCUUCUGCCCCCCCCUAUCCGCAUCCCCCUUUUUGCAGCAUUUUUUUUUUCUCCCCCCGUUAUAAGUUGUGUAUGUGCCGUACGACAUCACGCCAAGACACACCCUGCAAGACUCGUAGGAAGAGAACUGUGUGUGUGUGUGUGUGUGUGCUCACCCUCACGCUCCUCCACCAUGAGGGUGAGCCUGUGUGUUCUACCCUGUCCCUUGUUGGAUAUUUAUGCUAAAACAGCCCCAGAAGCUAAAGGGAAGGCCGCAGCCAGACAGCCAGACAUGCUAAGGAGGAGCUAAGAAGAUUCUUCUUUUUUUUUUUUAUGAAGGCUUGAACUUGAAACCGAACUUGACUAAAGACCAUCAUCACGACAACAUCGUGGCGACAUCUGCGUUAUUUGUGCGCUCUUUCUAUUUAUUAUUUUGAAUGGUUUAAUGCGCGGCGGUGAACAGAGAAAGGGCACCUUUACCUUAUUUGUUAUAAGUCCCUCUUCAGAUCAAUAUUGGUAAUGAUAUUUUAAAUGGGUGUGCUUCUCUGAUGCUCUGUCCAUCUUAUAUGUUUAAUACCAGCGCCGAUGAUGAUAAGAAAUGAUGUAAAAAAGAAAAACAGCUGAGUUCUCACUUCUCAACCAAUGUUCAAGGUUCAAUCAAGAGCAUCACAAUUGUCAAAAUUAAAGACCUUGUUUAUUAACUGAAUGUCGAAUCGCUCCAUGAUCAUUUGUCAUCAAUGGACACUUUAAGAAUAACCACCACAGUCUUGGAAGAGCUGUGAAUUUUUGCAGAAAAUAAAUAAUCUGCGUUUCCUAUUAAAAAGACGAGGUAAGUAUGGCAUACAACAAAGUAAAGAUGCGCAAGAUUUCAUCCUUAAACGGGCAUCAUUAUUUUUUAUCUACAUACUUAAUGGUUGAUUGACCUUAAAGGGUUUUCCAAUGGCUUUUUAAUCAUAUCAUUUGGAAUAUUAAUUCAAAAGAUGAACGGUCCAAAGUACAUACAGGACACAAACGUAUCAACUCAUAAGUGUCACUUGUAUUUAAGUUAUUUUUGUCGUCCGGAUAAACUGUGAUCAUAGUCUGGCUUCGAGGGAACGUUGGUAUGAAAUGGUAUGCAGGCUUGUUUAUAAUUCAAUGUUUUAGGCCUAUUUCACUGCCCAAGUUGUAUUAUUGUUAUUUUUAUGUAUGAAUCGAUUUUUGCUUGUUAACAUUUUAUGCUCCCCCUCCUUUACAGAAAAUGUACAGUUCGCAAUGUAGCUCCUCUGUCUUAAUAUGUGUAUUUGAUAAUAUUUAACAAAAAAAGAAAAAAACGUGACAGAGAAAGGCAAAAGGCAUACAUGGAUCAUCACCACCGAUAGCAGCAUUCUGUUUGUCUUUUGUGUUCUCUUGAAUAAGUCAUACAUUGUAACAAUAGAACCCGUCUUUGUACAUUUUGCUCAUCAUUUGCAGUUAUUUCGCAUUACGUGGGACUUCAUUUGUGACGUGAUCAUUUUCUCUCUUUUUUUAUUAUUCUUGUAUUAUGUUUUGUAAAUAUAUUGAGAAGUACUACAUGAGUUUCAAAUAUGCUGAUAAAAAGCCUCUCAUCCCUUGAAAAAUUCCCUAGUGUCCGCUCAUUACUAUUCGGAAGUGUUGGUGUGUGUAUGGGUCAGGGGUCAUCUUAUCCAGCUCCAAAGCAUGUCUGCUAGAUUGUUAGCAUGAUAAACAAAAAACUUGUGAUUUGUCACAUAAAACAAAAAUCUUGGACUAUACUCAAUCAUUUUAGGUCUAAUGCACUAAUGCAGACAUUAUUUUUGGUUUGUCCAGUAUUGGGCAAAAAUGCUGCAGCUGUAAUCUGCCAAAAAUAUCUUUAUGGAAUCCUUUGGGGCAAUAGCACUAAGUCAUUGUAUGUCCUCUAAAAGUGCUUGUUGUAGCCAUUGAAAGGCUCAGAUUACAUUCUAAC
ensembl:lncRNA